AUCCUUCGGGAUAAGUUAGCGGCGGACGGGUGAGUAACACGUAGGUAACCUGCCUAUAAGACUGGGAUAACUAUCGGAAACGAUAGCUAAGACCGGAUAACUGGUUUUCUCGCAUGAGAGAAUUAUGAAACACGGAGCAAUCUGUGGCUUAUAGAUGGGCCUGCGGCGCAUUAGCUAGUUGGUGAGGUAACGGCUCACCAAGGCGACGAUGCGUAGCCGACCUGAGAGGGUGAACGGCCACACUGGGACUGAGACACGGCCCAGACUCCUACGGGAGGCAGCAGUAGGGAAUCUUCCGCAAUGGACGCAAGUCUGACGGAGCAACGCCGCGUGAGUGAUGAAGGUUUUCGGAUCGUAAAGCUCUGUUGCCCUAGACGAACAGCAAGGAGAGUAACUGCUCUUUGUGUGACGGUAUAGGAGAAGAAAGCCCCGGCUAACUACGUGCCAGCAGCCGCGGUAAUACGUAGGGGGCAAGCUUUGUCCGGAAUUAUUGGGCGUAAAGCGCGC
rnacentral:rRNA from 1 species